GAUAAACGCUGGCGGCGCACAUAAGACAUGCAAGUCGAACGAACUUAAUUCGAAUGUUUACAUUUGAAAGCGGUUAGUGGCGGACUGGUGAGUAACACGUAAGUAAUCUGCCUAUCAGAGGGGAAUAACAAUGAGAAAUCAUUGCUAAUACCGCAUAUGCCGAUAGUAUCGCAUGAUACAGUUGGGAAAGGAGCAAUCUGCUGAUAGAUGAGCUUGCGACUGAUUAGCUAGUUGGUUAGGUAAUGGCUGACCAAGGCGACGAUCAGUAGCCGGAUUGAGAGAUUGAACGGCCACAUUGGGACUGAGAUACGGCCCAGACUCC
rnacentral:rRNA from 1 species